GCUAACAUGAAAAAGACCUGACUUCCCUUUCUUCCUUUAAGUUGAAUCAAGUGAACUUUCAGGCAGGCACCAGGGUAAAGCCUGCCUGCCAAUUCUUUGUAAACAGUGAGGCUUCCUGCAGUGUUAUGGGCUGUCGGGGGAGAAGGCAUUGUGAACUAGCACCCAUUGUGACGGUCUACAAGGUGAGAAGUCGAUUAUCCCACCUAGGGUGCCAGGAGCAGGAGUGAAAGGUCAGACACAGGGCCAGGAAUAAUUGCCUGACACAGGGACAGUCCGCAGGGAAUACCAGGAGCCCCCUGGGCAAGAGCUAUGCACGAGCAGAAGCAGCAGGCCCUGGGACUCUCUGCACCCCCUUCAACCCUACCUGCCAAGGCCAGCUCCAGCUUCCACAUCUCUUAGACUGUCAUCUAAGAAAGAACUGCCCAGCCAGCAGAGCCUGCAAAUCCUGGGAAGUGGCAGAGGGAGAGGCUAAGAGAGCAAAGCCAGCCCGGGGAAGGAGCCUCACCAGUGGCAGGCAGUGAGGAGCAGAGGGUGGAUGCAGGAUCUUGGAGCAAAUGGUCCUGGAGACCUUGCCUAAUAAGUGCCCUUGAGAGAUGCCCCCUCCAGCGUCCUCUUGGGGCAGUGGGGGCAGCUUCCAAAGACUGUUCAGGGCCCAUUCCACAGGCCUCUGACAUCCUGGCUAGGCUCUUGUCUCAGGCCAGUAGAGUCUGGAGGGCUGGAGAUCAGCCCCCACCCCUUUGAUAUAUGGGGAAACUGAGGCCCAGGGCUGUGAGAUUCCAAAUGGAGUGGUCUGGAGAGCAGGGGUCACUGAGAGGGCAGUAUUAGGAGGACGAGGUAGCAGGAGGGCAGCCAGGGCCUCUGAGCUACUCCCCCAGGCCUCUUGGCCACAGGGCUCCCCCAUCCCUACCCAACUCAACCUUUGUCUGAUUUGCUCCCUGUGACAGCUGGGGAGGCUGGGCCUCGCCCUGGCUCCUGCCAUCAGCCAUCUCUGUGUGGCACUAAAGAUGUGUGCGGGAGCCAGGCCUCGGCAGCAAGCUUGGCAGGCAGCUCGGCGUUGCCUGGGAGACCACAGAGGAGGAAAGCUGCUCCACACGGCUACCGAGGGCCAGAUGGCUCGUGGCUCCAGAGAUGCCUCUCCCAGGGGCCACAACCUCAUAUACACCUUGCAGGGGUGUCUCCCAGACACCCAUAAGGCAGAUGGGAAAACUGAGGUGCCAAGGAGUGGAAGGUCUGACUUGUUGACACACUGAGGGUCGGUGGCGAGGAACCAAGGACAGACGCAGAGGCCCUGCCUCCCAGCCCUGGGCUCUGCUGACCUCCUGGACCUGCAACUCAGGAACACACAGCCAGGGGGCGUGCUGGUCGCCAUGGCCAGGUCUCCCAACCCUGCCCCUCUGGAAAGACCUGAGGCUCUGUUAAAGGCCGCUACUAAACCUCGCUCUCUGGAGCAGCGGGAUGUGUAGCCACAGAGUCUGAGGAAAACUCCCAGCUCUGGAUGCAUGCACUGCAAGUGAAUAAGACAACACUGAGAGUUGGAAGCUGGGCUCUUGGCUGGGGUGCCAUCAAGGAGCCAGAACAGGGUGCUGAGAUUGGGUGGCUGUGCCUUGGAGUUGGGGAAGUCCACCGUCUUCCUUCCACACAAGAGGAAAUCGAAGUGUGUGUUGGGUGGGGGGAGAGUGUCAGUCGUUCAGAAAGGCUGCCUGGCCCGGUUCCCCUCCUCAAAGCUGGGAGAAGCAGCUCGCCCGGCCGGCCGGCCGGCCGUGUUCAGUACGCAAGCCUUCCAGCCAAGUGCUUAGAAAUGCUGAGCAGGACAGCCCUGGGUGCUGACCCCGGAGGAGAAGAGGAGCUCACCUCUGGCCUGCCCUCGGGGACCCCCAAGGCUGAGCUGUUGGAAUCCAAUCAGCAGUCAGGAAGAUGGAGCUCUUUGGGCAGCUGGGAGGCCCCAGGCUGGAAUGCAGGAACCUGGGUUCAUGUCCCUGGCUUGGCCACAAACAGCCUUACCCGACCCCAUGCUGUGACUUGGAAGCCCCACGACCUCCUGCCAGCUUCAUGCCUCACUGCACCUGCCUCUGCUGCAUGGGACACCUAUGACCAUGCCCCUCGGCUUCCUUGACCCAACCAUCAUCACCCGUCCUCGGCCUCCCAUUAAAUGAUGGUGGUCCCCA
ensembl:lncRNA